AGGAAGGCCUCGUGUUCCCUCUUCCGAAGACUCGUAUCUCCUCGACUAGCAAAAUGGAGGAUAAUGGUGUUAUAGUUUAGAAAAUUCUUAUGCAAUUUCUGAACAUUGACUUUUAAAGGCUUUUGACCUUCCUAGCUCAACGUCUCGACGGCUCGAUCGUCAAACAACUCUUUGAGGUCAAGGUUAGAGGGGCAUUCAAUAAGGGUAGCGUCGACCGGGAUGCCGAAAGGAGAAGUCCCAAUGAUAGCCGAGAUGUCGAGGAUGGUAGGAGUCAUAGGACCAAAUGGAAGGACCAAGGUGUUUGUGGCCGAGCACCAGAGGCUAAGAGCUGCCAUGAGGAGCUCUUUAUCCAUUGUAAUCUUCAUAGUCGAGAACUUGAUAGCGUCGUAAAUACCAAGAGUUUUCCACCCUUUGCCGAAGAACCUUUCCAUUUGAACUACCUAUGCCACACAGUUU
rnacentral:lncRNA from 1 species